rnacentral:rRNA from 1 species
UGGGGAAUUUUGGACAAUGGACGCAAGUCUGAUCCAGCCAUGCCGCGUGCGGGAAGAAGGCCUUCGGGUUGUAAACCGCUUUUGUCAGGGAAGAAACGAGUUUCUCUAAUACAGAGACUUAAUGACGGUACCUGAAGAAUAAGCACCGGCUAACUACGUGCCAGCAGCCGCGGUAAUACGUAGGGUGCGAGCGUUAAUCGGAAUUACUGAGCGUAAGGCGUGCGCAGGCGGUUAUAUAAGACAGAUGUGAAAUCCCCGGGCUCGACCUGGGAACUGCAUUUGUGACUGUAUAGCUAGAGUACGGCAGAGGGGGAUGGAAUUCCGCGUGUAGCAGUGAAAUGCGUAGAUAUGCGGAGGAACACCGAUGGCGAAGGCAAUCCCCUGGACCUGUACUGACGCUCAUGCACGAAAGCGUGGGGAGCAAACA